AGCGCUAAUACCGAAUGUGGUCAUUUCCGGCAUCCGGGAUUGAUCAAAGAUGGGGAUUCUUCGGAACCUGUCGCUUGGAGAGGGGCCUGCGUCCCAUCAGCUAGUUGGUGUGGUAACGGCGCACCAAGGCUUACGGGUAGGUGGUCUGAGAGGAUGGUCACCCACACUGGGACUGAGACACUGCCCAG
rnacentral:rRNA from 1 species